rnacentral:rRNA from 1 species
AACGAACGCUGGCGGCAGGCCUAACACAUGCAAGUCGAACGCCCUAGCAAUAGGGAGUGGCAGACGGGUGAGUAACACGUGGGAACCUUCCCUAUAGUACGGAAUAGCCCAGGGAAACUUGGAGUAAUACCGUAUACGCCCGAGAGGGGAAAGAUUUAUCGCUAUAGGAUGGGCCCGCGUCGGAUUAGCUAGUUGGUGAGGUAAUGGCUCACCAAGGCAACGAUCCGUAGCUGGUUUGAGAGAACGACCAGCCACACUGGGACUGAGACACGGCCCAGACUCCUACGGGAGGCAGCAGUGGGGAAUAUUGGACAAUGGGCGCAAGCCUGAUCCAGCCAUGCCGCGUGAGUGAUGAAGGCCUUAGGGUUGUAAAGCUCUUUUAGCAGGGAAGAUAAUGACUGUACCUGCAGAAUAAGCUCCGGCUAACUUCGUGCCAGCCGCCGCGGUAAAAC